UCUUGGUCAUUUAGAGGAAGUAAAAGUCGUAACAAGGUUUCCGUAGGUGAACCUGCGGAAGGAUCAUUAAAGAAAUUGUUAAUGCACUUGUUUUGAAGGGGGAUUGUUGCUGGUCUUCUCUGUACAUGUGCACAUCCUCCAGAUGCCAAGUGUGUUUUCUUCUUACACCCACACACCUGUGCACGAUCUGUAGCUUUGGGAUGAUCACGAAAUCUAGUUGGUUUGGGGUCUAUUGAUUUCGAAUGCCCUUUGCUAUGUAUGACACACACACACUCACAUAUGAUUUUUUGGAAUGUAAUGGGAUAAAUGCGUGUAACUACGUAUGAAAUGGCAAUACAACUUUCAGCAACGGAUCUCUUGGCUCUCGCAUCGAUGAAGAACGCAGCGAAAUGCGAUAAGUAAUGUGAAUUGCAGAAUUCAGUGAAUCAUCGAAUCUUUGAACGCACCUUGCGCUCCUUGGUAUUCCGAGGAGCAUGCCUGUUUGAGUGUCAUGAAAUUAUCAACUGCUUCAAUUUGUUUUGAAGUGAAGUUGGAUUUGGAGGUGUUUGCUGGCUUUGUUCAGCUCCUCUCAAAAGAUUAAAACCAUAUAAUGUUGCAUGGUGUUGAAGUAUCUUUGACGUGAUAAUUAUCUAGUCGCAGAGAAAGCCUUGUUUUAACUUAUGGUUGUUGUUGGGUUUGAUCAAUUUGACCUCAAAUCAGGCAGGACUACCCGCUGAACUUAAGCAUAUCAAUAAGCGGAGGAAA
rnacentral:rRNA from 1 species